GUGCCUAUGGAGUUGGCAGUCACAUAGCUGUCGUUUUGCCAGUUAACAUGCCAUAUUGAAUUAGUUUCAAACAUUUAUUUUCAUAAGGCUUUAGCAAAUAUUUUGUUUCCAAAUUAGAAUUUUUCAUUGUUUGGUUACAGAUGCUAUACAAAUUUUUAGUUUGUACGUGGAAAAUUAGGAUGCGAUAUUCCGUUUGACAUAGAUUUAGAGCAUGCUUUCAAUGUUAUGGACAUGGAGAAAGACAGACAAUCUUUUAAUCAUUUUAAUAUGAAGAAGAACAGAACCGUUUCUAAUUCAAUGUAUCCUCAGGUCUCAGUUUUGGAUGGACUUGUUUGGAGAUUUAAGAGACUCCAGAAACUUCAACGGAAGCGUUGAGCACCAGUGCUUGCUCAGAUUCUGCUUCACCAGAGUUCUGCAGAAAGACCUGGAUGAAUGCAAAAAUCUCUGGAAUAACCACAGGAUCCGGCCAAGCAGACUUGCAUCAUGUCCUGGGGGGAUUCCAAACGAACAUUAUCUCUUGCCUCACAGAUAUGGUUCAAGAGAUUGUGGAUUUCCUGUUGAGGACAGUGAUCUGGAUGUUUUCCCAGAAGCAAGUCAGGUGACAGAGUUGUGUGGUGAUAAAGACAUCGAGGAAUACCUACAGCAAAUCAUGCAACAACAUGGACAACAGCAGUCACAAAACUGGGAGUCAGCUAUGGAACUGUAUUUAUUCCUCAAACACAUAGCAAGGCUGUAGACACAAACAACCUGAAUAAAUUUUUUUUA